GUGUGUUGUGUUGUCAGGAGCGUGUGGAGGAGGAGUUAUCUUCUUAUCUCCUGGCGUCCAUCAGACACAAGGUUCUGGCUCUGACAGCAGAGAAUUCAUCCACUUCUUCCACAAACAGCUCAGUGAUGAUCUGCAGGUGGAGUGUUUCCUGUCCAUUAUAUAUGACUGUACCUGUCACGGGCGUCUGAAGAAGAGGACCAAGGUGCAGCGUGGUGACGAGUUCCAUGGCCCGUUAUGUAGGGAGGCUGUUGAGAGGCAGUGGUGGUGAUCUACUGGUGGACCUCUCUGAGGCCAUCUUCCAUGAGCUGGCCUUCUUCCACCUGAUACAGGACAUGAACAGGUUGGCAGUCAAGCAGAAUGUUCAAUGCACCAGCCCUAUCACAGCCCCUGCAGUGAAAUGG